AUUGAACGCUGGCGGCAUGCUUUACACAUGCAAGUCGAACGGCAGCGCGGGCUUUGGCCUGGCGGCGAGUGGCGAACGGGUGAGUAAUACAUCGGAACGUGCCCAGUAGUGGGGGAUAGCUCGGCGAAAGCCGGAUUAAUACCGCAUACGACCUGAGGGUGAAAGCGGGGGAUCUUCGGACCUCGCGCUAUUGGAGCGGCCGAUGGCAGAUUAGCUAGUUGGUGGGGUAAAGGCCUACCAAGGCGACGAUCUGUAGCUGGUCUGAGAGGACGACCAGCCACACUGGGACUGAGACACGGCCCAGACUCCUACGGGAGGCAGCAGUGGGGAAUCUUGGACAAUGGGCGAAAGCCUGAUCCAGCAAUGCCGCGUGUGUGAUGAAGGCCUUCGGGUUGUAAAGCACUUUUGGCGGGAACGAAAAGGACUGUGCCAAUACCACGGUUCGAUGACGGUACCCGCAGAAUAAGCACCGGCUAACUACGUG
rnacentral:rRNA from 1 species